GCAUAUCAAUAAGCGGAGGAAAAGAAACCAACAGGGAUUGCCCCAGUAACGGCGAGUGAAGCGGCAACAGCUCAAAUUUGAAAUCUGGCUUCGGCCCGAGUUGUAAUUUGUAGAGGAUGCUUUGGGCGCGGCGCCUUCUGAGUUCCCUGGAACGGGACGCCACAGAGGGUGAGAGCCCCGUAUAGUUGGACGCCUAGCCUGUGUAAAGCUCCUUCGACGAGUCGAGUAGUUUGGGAAUGCUGCUCAAAAUGGGAGGUAAAUUUCUUCUAAAGCUAAAUACCGGCCAGAGACCGAUAGCGCACAAGUAGAGUGAUCGAAAGAUGAAAAGCACUUUGAAAAGAGGGUUAAAUAGCACGUGAAAUUGUUGAAAGGGAAGCGCUUGUGACCAGACUUGCGCCGGGCCGAUCAUCCGGGGUUCUCCCCGGUGCACUCGGCCCGGCUCGGGCCAGCAUCGGUUCUCGCGGGGGGACAAAGGCCUCGGGAAUGUAGCUCCUCCGGGAGUGUUAUAGCCCGGGGCGUAAUGCCCUCGCGGGGACCGAGGUACGCGCAUCUGCAAGGAUG
rnacentral:rRNA from 1 species